rnacentral:rRNA from 1 species
GACGAACGCUGGCGGCGUGCCUAACACAUGCAAGUCGAACGGAAAGGCCUGCUUUCCCUUGUGGAUUGCGGGUACUCGAGUGGCGAACGGGUGAGUAACACGUGAGUGAUCUGCCCCCAACUUGGGUAUAAGCCUGGGAAACUGGGUCUAAUUCCCGAUAGUACUGCAGGGUGGUGCCUGUGGUGGAAAACGAUUUUCUAGUGGUUGGGGAUGAGCUCGCGGCCUAUCAGCUUGUUGGUGGGGUAAUGGCCUACCAAGGCGGCGACGGGUAGCCGGCCUGAGAGGGUGGACGGCCACAUUGGGACUGGGAUACGGCCCAGACUCGUACGGGAGGCAGCAGUGGGGAAUAUUGCACAAUGGGCGGAAGCCUGAUGCAGCGACGCCGCGUGGGGGAUGACGGCCUUCGGGUUGUAAACUCCUUUCGACCGCGAGGAAGCCACCUGGUUGGAAGGGUGGUGACGGUAGUGGUAGAAGAAGCACCGGCUAACUACGUG